GAGAAUUCUAGAUCUUCUUCAAACAUAAAAUGCUAGGGGAAUGCUGGGUUCUAUGAAAAAAAGUGUUUGCCAGUAUAUUCUUGUCAUAUACGGAAAGCCUGGAGGCACAGGAGGUUGAAACCCUGGGCCUAGAGACUGUAUGAAGGACCCAGGGACCCAAGCAGGUUGGUUGGAGAAGGAGGGCAAAAACCAAAAUCACUUUUUCCCAUUUCAUGCUAAAGGAUUAUCCACGCAAAAGAAUUCUCAGUACUUCUAGGGGAAACUUGGAAGACACUGGAAGCAAGGAGAUCCCAAAUUAAAUAAAGAAAACAGAAUGAACUCACAGUGAUUGCUUUAGAAAGAGGGAAUCACAGAGACAGCAAAGAGGAAGUUCUUAUCUUCUCAAAGUCUUGGGUGACAUAUUCGGAAAAAGCACUGGUAAGAAUUAUCAGAGAAUUACGCAACGCAGCACUCUGAUACUUCAGCAUUGCCCAAGACAAGUGAAAGCACCCACAGGUAACUGACUUCUCUCCCUCCUGCCUCUUAAAGUCUUGUCCAUUUUAGACCAGUCCUACUUGGCUCAGAUCACUCUAUCACUCUUACCUUCUUCUUGACCCUUACCCGUUUAGCUUUACAAUGAGUUAGUGGCUUUACUUGAUUAUGUAUCUCUUUAGGGCUUCUUCAGUCUUUCAUGUGUUUGAGCUUUCUU